rnacentral:rRNA from 1 species
GCCGGAUGCUCCAGUUGGAUGCAUGUCCUUCUGGGAAAGAUUCAUCGGUAUGGGAUGGGGUCGCGUCCUAUCAGCUUGAUGGCGGGGUAACGGCCCACCAUGGCUUCGACGGGUAGCCGGCCUGAGAGGGCGACCGGCCACAUUGGGACUGAGAUACGGCCCAGACUCCUACGGGAGGCAGCAGUGGGGAAUAUUGCACAAUGGGCGCAAGCCUGAUGCAGCGACGCCGCGUGCGGGAUGACGGCCUUCGGGUUGUAAACCGCUUUUGACUGGGAGCAAGCCCUUCGGGGUGAGUGUACCUUUCGAAUAAGCACCGGCUAACUACGUGCCAGCAGCCGCGGUAAUACGUAGGGUGCAAGCGUUAUCCGGAAUUAUUGGGCGUAAAGGGCUCGUAGGCGGUUCGUCGCGUCCGGUGUGAAAGUCCAUCGCUUAACGGUGGAUCCGCGCCGGGUACGGGCGGGCUUGAGUGCGGUAGGGGAGACUGGAAUUCCCGGUGUAA